AGUUAAACAGUACGUGAAAUUGUUGAAAGGGAAACGAUUGAAGUCAGUCAUACUAACGGGAAAUCAACCUCUUGAGUUUGGUCUCGUGGGUUUCGAAGAGUUUAAAAGCCUUCGGAUUUUCGAGAUUGGGCUCUUCUGGUGUACUUUCUCGUACGGUUAGUCAACAUCGGUUUUGAAUGUCAUAAAAUGACUGGAGGAAUGUGGCUUCGAUCUCGUAUUGAAGUGUUAUAACCUUUGGUAGAUGUGAUGUUUGAGACCGAGGAUUGCAACGGAUACCCUUCUGGGCUAUUCGUCUGAUCUCUGAAACGUUGCCUUGAUGUCGAAAGCUUGCUUAUGAUGUUUAGGGUAUUACGGUCAAAAGGUUAGAACGGAUUAAAUUCGUUAAGGAUGUUGACGUAAUGACUUUAAA
rnacentral:misc_RNA from 1 species